rnacentral:rRNA from 1 species
GCCAGCCCGCUCAGAAACUUAAGGAAUUGACGGGGCCGCACAAGCGGAGGAGCAUGUGGUUUAAUUCGAUGAUACGCGAGGAACCUUACCUGGGCUCGAACGUAAGAUGACUGUAGGUGAAAGCUUACAUCUCUUCGGAGCAUUUUACGAGGUGCUGCAUGGUUGUCGUCAGCUCGUGCCGUGAGGUGUCGGGUUAAGUCCCAUAACGAGCGCAACCCUACCUUUAGUUGCCAUCAGGUAAUGCUGGGGACUCUAAAGGAACUGCCUACGCAAGUAGUGAGGAAGGCGGGGAUGACGUCAAAUCAGCACGGCCCUUACGUCCAGGGCUACACACGUGCUACAAUGGCCGAUACAGAGGGCAGCUACCUGGUGACAGGAUGCAAAUCUCCAAAGUCGGUCUCAGUUCGGAUCGGAGUCUGCAACCCGACUCCGUGAAGUUGGAUUCGCUAGUAAUCGCGCAUCAGCCAUGGCGCGGUGAAUACGUUCCCGGGCCUU